ACUCCCACCCCACCACUCUCUCUCUCUCUCAUCCCUAAAAUAACUCUCUCACAAACUCACCUAUUCCUCGGUCCACCCCACCCCGGCUCCUCUCCCCACGAUCUCCUCGCCGCCGCCACCACCCACGCCGGCCGGUUUCGGCGAGCACCGGCCGCGCGCAACACUCCCCCAAGCUCCCACCUUCCUCCGCUCCGAUCCCCAUGGAAGCCACCGCCGCCGCCUCCCUCGCGCGGACCCUCGCCUCCUCGCCGCUCCCCUGCGGCUCCCGCCGUAGCCAUGUGCGCGUGGCCGUGGCGCCGGAGCAGCGGAGGAGGGUUAGGACGGUGCUUGGUGAGUGAUCCGUCGUCGCCGCUGGCUUUCCUCCUCCCCUCUCCUCUGCCGCCGCCGUUGGCUUUCUUUCCUGCGAGCGGGGAUCAUCCGUGAUCCGUCCGGGGCUCGCUCCCCACCUCCUUCGUGUGUACGUGCUCGACCCCCUCACCUCAAUCGUCGAUUGCUUGCUGCUCCCGCGUUCUGUUGGGUGCUUUGCGGGUUGUUUCGUGCUUGGGGCCAAUGGUAUGCAGGAUUCAUGCUCGGACAUGGCCUAGUAGAUAUCUAGUUCCUGGUGUUCAGGUCUCAUGGCUUAACGGCCUCCCCCUAAGCCUAGUUGGAUUUGUUUCAGGUGCUGCGUUGAUUAGGUCCUGGAUGAUUGGGUUGGGUAUUGACCUCUGUCUGUAUGUAGCAACAGAUCCAGGAGAAGUUUUCUGUCGGAUUAGUUUACAGUGAAUUUUCAGAUGACCGAGUUUAAGAUUGAGAAUUUGGUCAAAGCUUUAAUCCUAGGGGAAUGUCUGUCGUACCAUUUUCUUCAGUUCUUAUCUUCUUCUUGUCUACCAUUUAAGGAAACCAUGUUUUUUUACAUACAUAACGCAGCAGAAGAGUAUUAAGCAGGAAACUGUUCAGAUCUACAAAAGAGGCUAGGAGAAAAUCUAAUAAAAAUAAAAGGAAGAACAAAUCAAAGCAGGGAACUAGACAGUCACUACGCAGACGUAAGGCACCAGUCAAAAUCUCAGAAUCUUUCUAGGCCACUUCAGAUUCUCACCUCCUCCUUCAAUUCAAAAUUCAGAAAUUAUAAUUCCUCUGUUUUUAUUUGCCCACAAAAAUUGCAGCCAAUUCAAAAUGCACACACUAUCAUCUUAAUGGAACUAUUCAGUGCCUUCUUCACCUGGUUGACCAUCUAUCCUUUGCCCUCGUCAUUUAUGUAACAUCCAGUGUGUUUUGUUUACGCUUGUCUGACAUGCCAUUGCUCGCUAAACUGAAUGUGGGUGGGAGCAGCGUCAAUAAACUAAGUCUAGCAUGCCAUUGCUCUUAUCAUCAUAGCACUGAACUGUGUUGUUGAAUUGGAUUGUGUAGAUUCAUUUAUGUAUGUUUAUCCACCAUGAACGAACAAACUCUAGGGGCAAAUUUAUCCUUUUUACCUUUUAUUUCUUAAUAUAUGCAUUAAACCAUGCCUCUUAUGAUUUUGGCUUCUCAAGUAUAUUUUUAUUGUUUGUGCGUCGUGCAUCUACACUUGGUGUGACUGCUAUGUACAUCAUCCCAAGCAUGCUGUAGUUUAGCAUGGAUUGAUGAUCUCGUAUUGGAGAGUUCAAGGGCACAUAGGCAGUGUGCUUGUAUAUCUAAUCUGAGCAGUUGAUUUCACCUGUAGUGCUUCUACUUGAAAUGUGAUGAUCCACAUGCUAACUGUUUGCUCUUUAUGGUAUUCUUGGAUUUUGCCCUGUUUCCGGUUAAGAUAAUAUGUUAAAUGCAGCCUUUUCAGAUCACCGAAGACUUCUCGACAAGUUGGUGUUGUAUGGCCUGGUUGAGCUCAAGGUUAACGGAGACGGUGAUGUCUACUACACAACCUUUUUCUUGUAGACGUUGUUGGGCCUCUAAGUGCACAGUUUCGGGCAUUGUCUGAUCAAUUUUAUCGAACUCGUGAACACCAUAGAUUUGUGCGGCAACAGGUGGUCAAUCAGCAGAGCCAUAUGUACAAGAAGCAGAGCGCAUCAGUUCAUGCUCGAGCCUUGAAGAAGGUAGCAAUGUUUGGGUUUUCCUCAAGGAUGUCGGUCACUAUUUAAAGGUUCAGGUGGUGAUGCUGACGGUCGUCGAGAGGUUCGUGGACUGGGCGGUGUCGUGGCUGCCGAUGUACGGAGAGGCGAAGCUGCUGCUCGGCAUCUACCUCUGGUACCCCAGCACAUGGGGUGCGGGGCACGUGUACGAUGGCUUCCUCCAUCCACUGGUGGCGUGGCACGAGGCCGACAUCGACCGGGGCCUGCUUGAGCUGAGGGCUAGGGCGAGGGACAUGAAGGCGUCACAACUCAAGGCGGCGGCUGCCAUCGGUCAAAUGUGGCUCGUCGACGCUGCCCGCUGUGUUUCAUCGCAGCUGCAGGCCGCGAGAUCAGGUCGGGAAGGCGCCACACAUUGACAAGUGAGCCAAUUUUUGGAUCUGACCAUAACAACGUGUCUUAGUCUCUGACGUCUAGAAGUAGUGGUAAAGUUUCAAUUUGCAUGGCAAAAAUCACUUAAGUAGGUAGCUGACACGCACAACACUGUGUUUACACUCUUAUGUAAAAGAUAUGAAUUAUACACGAGUUGCCUCUACAAUGAGGAACUGUGAUAGUAGAUACGGCAAUUGUGUGAUAGAAUGGAAUUGCUUGAUUUUUUAAUUUCUAA